GUGUCAGCCGCCGCGGUAAUACGUAGGUGGCAAGCGUUGUCCGGAAUUAUUGGGCGUAAAGCGUGCGCAGGCGGUUUCUUAAGUCUGAUGUGAAAGCCCACGGCUUAACUGUGGAGGUUCAUUUGAAACUGGGAGACUUGAGUGCAGAAGAGGAAAGUGGAAUUCCAAGUGUAGCGGUGAAAUGCGUAGAGAUUUAGAGGAAAACCAGUGGCGAAGGCGACUUUCUG
rnacentral:rRNA from 1 species